GUCGAACGCUGGCGGCGUGCCUAACACAUGCAAGUUGAGCGCUGGAGGUUGGUUCUUGUACCAACUGGAUGAGCAGCGAACGGGUGAGUAACGCGUGGGUGAUCUGCCGUUGAGCGGGGGACAACAUAUGGAAACGAAUUCUAACACCGCAUAAAAACUUUAAACACAAGGUUUAUGUUUGAAAGAUGUAAUUGCAUCACCCAAAGCUGAUCCCAGGUUGUAUUAGCUAGUUGGCGGGGUAAGGGCCCACUAGGGCGAUGAUACAUAGCCGACUUGAGAGGAGAAUCAGCAAAACGGGAACUAGGACACGCUCCAGCUUCCUACGGGAGGCAGAGGAGGGAAAUUUUGGACAUUGAGGAAAAGCCGGAUCAAGACCGCCGCGUGGUGGGAAGAAGGUCUUCGAACGUUAAACUCUGUUAGGAUAGAAGGAAGGUCGGGAGGGUAGUAAGUUCAUGUAGUGACGGUAACAACAGAGAAAGCAACGGCUAACUACGUG
rnacentral:rRNA from 1 species